rnacentral:rRNA from 1 species
CGCGGGGCAGGCUAACACAUGCAAGUCGAGCGGCAGCACGGGUACUUGUACCUGGUGGCGAGCGGCGGACGGGUGAGUAAUGCCUAGGAAUCUGCCUGGUAGUGGGGGAUAACGCUCGGAAACGGACGCUAAUACCGCAUACGUCCUACGGGAGGAAAGCAGGGGACCUUCGGGCCUUGCGCUAUCAGAUGAGCCUAGGUCGGAUUAGCUAGUUGGUGAGGUAAUGGCUCACCAAGGCGACGAUCCGUAACUGGUCUGAGAGGAUGAUCAGUCACACUGGAACUGAGACACGGUCCAGACUCCUACGGGAGGCAGCAGUGGGGAAUAUUGGACAAUGGGCGAAAGCCUGAUCCAGCCAUGCCGCGUGUGUGAAGAAGUCUUCGGAUUGUAAAGCACUUUAAGUUGGGAGGAAGGGCAGUUACCUAAUACGUGAUUGUUUUGACGUUACCGACAGAAUAAGCACCGGCUAAUCUGGUGCCAGCAGCCGCGGUAAUACAGAAGGUGGCAAGCGUUAAUCGAAAUAACUGGGCGUAAAGCGCGCGUAGGUGGUUUGUUAAGUUGGAUGUGAAAUCCCCGGGCCCAACCUGGGAACUGCAUCCAAAACUGCAGGUAGGUGUUGUAGGGG